rnacentral:sRNA from 1 species
UCGCGCCCCCGUCCCGGCCUCGCGCCCCGGCCGCCCUUUGUUGACGCCGGCCAGGCCGGUGCGGUCGGAUGCGCCGCGGCAGCCCCGGGCCCCGGCUCGGAGGCUCCCGGCGGAGAGGAGGCGGCCCGCCCGGGCCCGGGACCCCGCGCGAGUCGGCGCCCGGCCGAGGGGCUGCGUAGGCCCCGCCCGGCCAGGCCCAGCCGGGCCCUGGACAGAGACAGGGCAGGGCAUUGUUCAUGCACUGACCGACCUCAGCAGCCCCGGCAUGACCUCAGGGAACGGAAACUCUGCCUCCAGCAUCGCCGGCACUGCCCCCCAGAAUGGUGGGACGCUCGUCCCUGCUGGUGGGGAAUCUCAAGAAGAAGUAUGCACAGGGGUUCCUGCCUGAGAAACUUCCACAGCAGGAUCACACCACCACCACUGACUCGGAGAUGGAGGAGCCCUAUCUGCAAGAAUCCAAAGAGGAGGGUGCUCCCCUCAAACUCAAGUGUGAGCUCUGUGGCCGGGUGGACUUUGCCUAUAAGUUUAAGCGUUCCAAGCGCUUCUGUUCCAUGGCUUGUGCAAAGAGGUACAACGUGGGAUGCACCAAACGGGUGGGACUUUUCCACUCAGACCGGAGCAAGCUGCAGAAGGCAGGAGCUGCGACCCACAACCGCCGUCGGGCCAGCAAAGCCAGUCUGCCACCACUUACCAAGGAUACCAAGAAGCAGCCAACAGGCACUGUGCCCCUUUCGGUUACUGCUGCUUUGCAGCUAACACACAGCCAGGAAGACUCCAGCCGUUGCUCAGAUAACUCAAGCUAUGAGGAACCCUUGUCACCCAUCUCAGCCAGCUCAUCUACUUCCCGCCGGCGACAAGGCCAGCGGGACCUGGAGCUCCCCGACAUGCAUAUGCGGGACCUGGUGGGCAUGGGACACCACUUCCUGCCAAGUGAGCCCACCAAGUGGAAUGUAGAAGACGUCUACGAAUUCAUCCGCUCUCUGCCAGGACUCCCCAGCAGCUUCCCUAAAGGCCAUGAGACUUCUAUAUACAGUCUCUCAAAGCACCUUAGACACUCACGCUUUCCACAGAGUCCUUCUGGCUCCUGCCUGUGGCCAGUUCUGAGGCCACGCCCACAUCUAUAGAGCUGUUUGAUGUCAGCACUCCUUUUCCAGGCUGCCAGGAGAUAGCAGAGGAAUUCCGUGCCCAGGAAAUCGACGGGCAAGCCCUGCUGCUGCUCAAGGAGGACCACCUGAUGAGCGCCAUGAACAUCAAGCUGGGGCCCGCCCUGAAGAUCUACGCCCGCAUCAGCAUGCUCAAGGACUCCUAGGGCUGGCGGCAGCCAGGAUUCUGGCCCAGGGCGGCUCCUCCCGACUGAGCAGAGCCAGACAGACAUUCCUGAGGGGCCCAGAAAUGGGGCCAGUUGGAGGGCAGGGGCUCUCCCUAGGGGCAUAGCUGGUGAGGAGGUCUGGGCACCUCCUCCAUGGCUCUCAGGGGCCUUUCAUUUCUGUGGGAGGGGCAGAGAGGUAGGUGGCACAGAAGAUGGGGCUUUAUGCUUGUAAAUAUUGAUAGCACUGGCUUCCUCCAAAGUCCCAAUACUCUAGCCCCGCUCUCUUCCCCUCUUUCUGUCCCCCAUUUUCCAGGGGGUAUAUGGUCAGGGCUCCCCAACCUGAGUUGGGUUACUUCAAGGGCAGCCAGCAGGCCUGGAUGGAGGCCUAGAAAGCCCUUGCCUUCCUUCCUCCCACUUCUUUCUCCAGGCCUGGUUAACUCUUCCGUUGUCAGCUUCUCCCCCUUCAGCCUGUUUCUGCAGCAGCCAGGGUUCUCCUCCCUACACCCUCUGCAGGUGGAGAGAGAGAAGCUGGGCCCAGCCGGGCCGUGCCUGCUGGCACAGACGCCUUAACGCUGUGUGUAUGACUGUGUGACUGUGUGGGAGCCUGGACUGACAGAUAGGCCAAGGGCUACUCUCUGGCAUCUCCAGGUGUUUUGUAGCAAACAGCCACUUAGUGCUUUGUCCUGGACUCCACUCAGCCUCAGGAUGGGGAAUAGCCAAGAAUGGCAGCCUCAGCGCAGAGGCAAGGUCAGAAAGAGACGGCGCUUCAGAGUUUCCUUUCCAGACACCCCUCCCCGCACUGUGAAGUUCCCCUGACUGCCCUCCUGGUUCACAAAGAGCAUUAAGAAAGCUGCGGUGGUCUAAGCAACAUAGCCCAGAGGGCUGAGCCUCCUGGCCUGCCUGCCUGCCCACCCUGGGAGUCCCAGUGGUGAGGCUCAGAGAACUUCUAAGGGGAGAGAACAGCUGGAGUUUCUGUUGAUGUGAAGAAGGCAGCUCUUGGCCUCCCACUCCCACACUUCUUUGCCUAUAAUCUUCCUAGCAGCAAUUUGAGCUACCUGAGGAGAAGGCAGGGCAGAAAGGGCGAGGGCCUGCCUCUGACCUGCAGUGUCCUUUGCAGGAAGGAGGUAGGCACCUUUCUGAGCUUAUUCUAUUCCCCACCCACACCCCCAGGCAGGGUUGGAAAUGAAGGACUUUUUUAACCUUUGUUUUUGUUUUUUAAAAAUAAAUCUGUAAAAUCUG